GUGUCAGCAGCCGCGGUAAUACGGAGGGGGCUAGCGUUGUUCGGAAUUACUGGGCGUAAAGCGCACGUAGGCGGACCAGUCAGUUGGGGGUGAAAUCCCGGGGCUCAACCCCGGAACUGCCUCCAAAACUGCUGGUCUGGAGGUCGAGAGAGGCGAGUGGAAUUCCGAGUGUAGAGGUGAAAUUCGUAGAUAUUCGGAGGAACACCAGUGGCGAAGGCGGCUCGCUGGCUCGAUACUGACGCUGAGGUGCGAAAGCGUGGGGAGCAAACAGGAUUAGAAACCCCUGUAGUCC
rnacentral:rRNA from 1 species